UCUCCGUAGGUGAACCUGCGGAGGGAUCAUUACAAGUGACCCCGGUCUUACCACCGGGAUGUUCAUAACCCUUUGUUGUCCGACUCUGUUGCCUCCUGGGCGACCCUGCCUUCGGGCGGGGGCUCCGGGUGGACACUUCAAACUCUUGCGUAACUUUGCAGUCUGAGUAAACUUAAUUAAUAAAUUAAAACUUUUAACAACGGAUCUCUUGGUUCCG
rnacentral:misc_RNA from 1 species